UCUUGGACUGGAAACCUGGUCUCAGUGGCCAGAAUCAAUGAUUGUGUUACCAAAUGAACUGGUGAGUGUGGCACUGGCAAUGUUGGCUGAAGACAAGCAAAAAAAUCGUGUUCUAUAUAAUUCGUUGCUGUGGAGAAUUCGAUCUAUUUGACUAGGAAGAGCUUUCUUUUUACGAAACAAUAAUCAUGGGACGUCAAAGAAACGAAAUUGUGAUUUGGUAUCGCCUUUCAAAUGCAGAUCAUGUGAUAAUUAACCCUCCAGAGAAGUCAAAACCAAGAAAAUGGCCCCUUGAUGAUGCUUUUUGUUGUUAUCUCCUUGGGUGAAUGACUGUAAACAAUUGAUGGUUUAUGGUAUCAUAGCAUCUAUUAGUCUUUUCUUUAUAUUUUAUCCAACUCUACAAAAAUUCUCUCCCCAUGCUUCAACCUCCCUUGUAGGUACAUGGCCAGUUGUAACUGAAAAAAAUAUUCUGAAAAUAUUUUGACCAAAAGAGAUGGUUACUUGUAGGGGUAAAUUUCAAUAACUAUCCCUGAACUUAUAUAGUUGUAACACUACAGUUCUUAAACUUUAAAACGUAACAUAAAACUCCCUAAACUUUCAAAUUUUGCAUAGUAAAAUCCUUUAACUUUCAAUUACUGAUUUUUCGGUUGAACACUGAUGUAAACAGCUCCCAUAUGGCUCUCAGUCAACAUUUCUCUCUCCUCUCUUAUUUUAAUUGUAAAAUUAUUUUCUCUACACCUGAAAAAUCAUUCUGUUUACAGUGAGAAAAAUGAUUCAAUUUGCACAUAACUUGAGAGAGAAAAGAGAAAUAUUGAUUAAACUCCACGUUAAAACUGUUUAGGUCAGCGUCUAACUGAAAAACCGACAAUUAAAUGUUAGAGAGAUUUUACUGUGCAAAAUUUGAAAGCUGAAGAGGUUUUAUGUUACAUUUUUAAGUUGAAGGACUAUAAUGUUAUACUAGAUAAGUUCAGAGACGGUUGUCAAAAUUUAUCCUUACUUGUAGAUCACAAACUUUCAAAUUUGACUCUGUAAAGUAUGUUUUGUACAAUUAUAACAUAGUACUGUGAACUGAAAAAUGAGUUGAUCAUGUUCAAAUGACAGACCUUUCAGUAUUCCUCAUUAGUUCCCCAAUUGUUAAUUCCCAAAUAGAAUUAUCUUGCCAUACUGCAUUACAACUCUUCAUCAAUUCCAUAAUUUUAUGUUUUCUUUUUCUUAUAACUUGUAUUCUCAAGUUCAUUGUUCACAACACCGCAAAAGGGGAUGGAAAAAAUAAGAACAAAAAGGGUGGAAGAGAUAGUGUGAGAGAAAGAGAGAGAGAGAGAGAGAGAGAGAGAGAGAGAGGAGUAGACACAGAUCAAACAAAUUUAAGAAGCAUACUGUUUCAAUGGAACUUGAGAAACUCCUUAUCAAACAAAAGCAAAAGCUAACCCCACCACUUCAAUUUUUCUCACAUUAUUUCUUUACACAAAUGUAUACAAAACAAUUUUUUCAGAGUAGUGAAUCAAAACUUGCAUUGGUCACCCUUCCAAUCCCUUAGAUCGAAAUGUCCAUCAUGUCCACCACCAAGUUAUCCAUCAUCAGAGACGCAACACCUCCGGAACAAGCCAUCUCCCAGCUUCUCUUCCCUGCAUUUUCAUUCAAAAAUGUUAUAAUCCAGCUUUUGACAGUUUUAAUUUAGACAAAAUCUAGAAUGAAUUUAAUACAUACCAUAAUAUGUUGGUGAUGAUGUAAGCUUUCCAUUGGCUUUAGGUAGCUUGAAAGGGCAUGAAGAAAGGGGAAGAACUGGGAGAUUUUGACAAUUACAGAUCUCAACCAUGUAGCCAUCUGGAUCAUGGAAGAAGAGCUGAUCAACUGUAAUGCCACCUUCUUCCACAACUGCUGUCACAUACUCAAUGUUCUUCUCCUCUAGUUUUUUAACAACAAGAUC